rnacentral:rRNA from 2 species
UACGAAGGGGGCUAGCGUUGUUCGGAAUUACUGGGCGUAAAGGGCGCGUAGGCGGCUCGACAAGUCAGAAGUGAAAUCCCUGGGCUCAACCCAGGAAUUGCUUUUGAGACUGCCGGGCUUGAGUACAGGAGAGGUGAGUGGAAUUCCCAGUGUAGAGGUAAAAUUCGUAGAUAUUGGGAGGAACACCAGUGGCGAAGGCGGCUCACUGGCCUGUAACUGACGCUGAGGCGCGAAAGCGUGGGGAGCAAACAGG